rnacentral:lncRNA from 1 species
GCCCCACUAGGAAACUUCCAGGAAAGGGACAAAAAGGACCAUUUUUCCAUUUUGGCAAAGGGGCAUAUAUACACGACAUAUACAGAUCAAAGAAAAAGGGGGUUUUCUUCAUUCACCAUAUUCAUCCUUUCUUUUUUAUCUUCGAACACGCGCACACACAGGAACUGGUCGAAAAAAAAAUGCACUACAAUCUCCAUUUAUUGGAUACAGGGACUGCACAGGGAUCUGGGGAAGUGCAUAAACACAUGCCAGAAAUGGGGUAGAUCGAGAAAGAGGGAGAGAACAGAGAGAGACGAGAGAGAAGAACUUGGUUAGAGAUCGAGUUUUCCAGCCACUCUUCAUCGAAAAUCACUGCACUAGUUUCGAUUUAACUCCGAAACCCAUUAAAAACUCAUCCAAACCAUAUCCAUCACUGAAAAAGUGUAUGGCUAACCCAAUAACGAAAGUUUCGCAAGAUCGAAUCGUUAAAACCAGCCCGAAAUCGAGCUGUUUCGGGUUGAUUCCGGUUGUUUUGAGUUCGGUUUCAGUUUGUUCAAGGUCACCUUUGGUCUGUUUGGGUUAGUAAGUUCGGUUUAGUUUCGGUUUGUUCAGUGUUAAUGUUUAAUACUCUCAAGUGGUUUUGUGGAUUUGGUAUUUGAAUGGGACUGCGAAUUUGGGUUGUUUAGCUCUGAGUUGGUUCAGCCAUUGUUGAGGUUUAUUUUUCGUUCAAUAAUUCGGGCUUUGGCUUCUCUCAUUCGUUAUUAUCGAUUAGAAUCUGAAUCUUUGGAGGUCCCUUUCUCAACUCUAUCCUUUUCUUAUGUUUUCGUAGUUGAAGAUGUGACUUCAUGAUGUUUUGAAUGUAUGUGAAUCCUUGUAAUUCGUGUGGUUUGAUUCAUAGACUUAUACUGAAAUUAAUUAAUGGUGUUGAUCGAAGAUGACUUGAGUUUAUGUUGGCAUAAAUGAAAUCUGGGUGGGAAUGGGAAAUUGAAAGGAUGAACACAGUUUUGUUUGUGACAUACUGAUCAUUGUUUAAUUCUGGAUAAAUAUUAAUUCUGAUCAUUGUGUUAAAAAUGGAUAGGCAAUAUAGGUUUGGGUAGGCAAAUUUUAGAAUUUGUUGUUUGGUUGAAUGUUUGAAUAUGGAAUAUUGGUUGAAUUUUUUUUCUAGUUUAUCGCAUUUGGAUCAUUUGUAUCAUUUGGCCAGGGAAUGCCCCGAAGUACUUUGUAUUGAUUUAUCUGGGGAAUGCCCUGAUGUAUCUUGUAUUUAGAAGAUGUUCGUGGUGAAGGCCCGAGGUGUCGGGUAAAACACGGGAGCGUAGUUAGAAUUAGUUUAGGUUAGCGUAGGUUUAUAUUUUUUUGUUUUUUUUAUAUAUCGGGUUGUAUAAUUGGACUGGACAUUACACUUUGGAUUAUUUUGUUUGUUGUUUGAUUUUUUUUGCGUACUUUUGUGUGAUUUAUACAUUUCGUAGUUUCAAAUUAGCCAAUAUACUUCACCAAGCGACCGUGGUCGAACCACGGGAUUGAGGGGUGCCUAACACCUUCCCCUCAGUCAACAGAAUUCCUUAACUAGAAUCUCUAUUCGCAAAUCAGUUUUAAAGAGUCAAACCAUUUCGAAAAGAAUUUUUCAAAGGUGACUUGGCACACUAGAUUAUGCCAAGUGGCGACUCUGAAUUUAAUUGUAAAUAAUCCUUUUUCGAAAUAAAUUUUUAUUUUUUGUCACUUAAAUAAUAAAAAUCCUUUCGAACCUUAAACCAUAUCUUUUUAGAGUUAAAAAAGAGGUGUGACAGCUCUGGCGACUCUGCUGGGGAAAAUUUUAGAAUUCGAGCUUUUUUUUGGGAGUCGCAUUGGCUUUGUUUGGCAUUACGAGUGUACAAGCAUUGUUUGUGAUUUUUGUUUCUGUUUUCACUUUUGUGCAUUUUUGUGCUCUUUGUUUACAAUAUUUAUCCUAUGUGUUACCGCUUUUAUCUCUGACAUCAUGUGCAUAACCCGAGUCAUUCUUUCCGCAACAAGUCUCGGAGCGCACGUCGUGCGCACGAACUCUAGUUGAGUCACCUUUAUUUUAGGGGGGGGAGCCUUGGAUGUAUGGAGUAGGUGGAAAGCUAAGCAAGGAGACUUACCUCUAAAGCAUUCCUACGUGCUAAAUGUUGCAUCUUUGAGGAUAACGUGGGUGGUCAUUUGACUGAUGUGGGGUAAAGCAUGUGUUAGAAGUAAAGUGUGUGAAAAAAAAACUGUUUUGUAGUUUUUAGAGUUCUUUAUGGCUUUUGUUUUUCACAAUUCAAAAAUUUCAAAAAAAAAAAAGUUUUUUUUCUUUUUACAAUAGGAGGUUUUAUAAAGGAAAAUGCAAAAAAAAAAAAAUGAUGGUAGAAUUUUUGUACAUUUCAUAUAACAAAAAUAUCAAAAAAAAAAAUCCUUUUAUUCCUUUACCACGCAUUCAUAAUUCGAAAAUUUUCAAAAAUUUUUUUUCUUUCAUAGUAGUUGGUGUCAAACUAAAAACCCAAUUUUUUUAAAUUUUUUUAUUAUUCAUCGGUCUUUGGUCGUGUCUCUUAAGUUAGGGUCAGUUUGUUAGUUAAUCUUUAUUUGUCCAAUUUGGACGAACUACGCAUACCUGAUUCCCGUCCCUCGGGGCGGGAUAUAUAGGCAACCCUCGGUGUGUCCCAUAAUAUUUAUUUUGGCCUUAGGCUAGGUCUUUUACCCUGUAACCUAGAGUUGUUAGCCAAGUAAGCUGAUUUUAUUCAGUGUUACUGUUCGGCAAUUUGGAGCCAUGAAGUGGUUUGUCUCAGCGACGUAUGUCCACAUCAAAUUCCCAUUGGUUGGGAACCUUUUGCUCUUAUCAAAUUUUUGAGAUAAUUUCUUAUCUACUACUACAGGAUGGAUCUGUCCACAAAGUCUAGAGUCCUUAUGGUUGUCAAGGUACCCAAAAAGUUGAUCAAGUGGUGGGGCACGUUCAAUUACUCUAAAAAGCACGAAGUGAGGAAAGUGUUAGGCAAUCUUGUAGCACUUAUGGAUCUCACGCCUCAUUCGGAUCUAAUAGAAGCUGCGUUGACUUUCUGGGAUCCAAAUAAUUUGGUGUUUAGGUUUGGAAGUUGUGAAUUGACUCCUACCCUCGCAGAAGUGUCUCGUUUGAUUUGGUUGACUUACAUGGGUCAGUAGAUGAUUUUAGCCCGCAAUCAUACUCGUAAGAAAUUCCUUUGACUCUGUGGAUUAAAAGAUAACAAACAUCUGGGAUGUCUCAAACAAUCUUCGAUUUCCUUGGACUAUUUGUUUGCUAGAUUUGGGUCCUUAGAGGGUUUCGACUUCUUUUGGGAUGAAUUCUGUACUACCAAAAAAAUCUGGGAACAAUGUCAUCUUGAGGUUUUCUGUCUGGCUUUGUUGGGUAUCUUAGUGUUCUCGUUAGAUGAUAGGUGUAUCAAUACUCAUCUACAAUCAGUGGUGAUAGCUUUAUUCAAGAAAAAAGAUGAGGUCACCAUUGUAUUAAUGAUCUUAACAGAAAUAUAUAAGGCUUUAACUGAAGUAAAAGGAGGGGUACAAUUUUUUUAGGUGAGUAAUCUGAUAUUACAGUUGUGGAUGAUGGAGCACUUGCAUACGCCUUCUUUGAUUAGAGCAGAUGUGAUCGACCGUUGUCUGAAUGAUCGAGUGCAAGCCAUGCAAGAGAGAAUUCAUUUAGACAAAUUUUCUUUUCAUAUAGGAGUCAAUUCUUGGAUCGAAUUUCUCGAAUCAAGAACUCCGAACAACAUUCUUUGGUGCUAUAUGUAGUUUCGUCCUAAGAAAAUCUUGAUUGGAUCUCAAAUGCAACUCUUUCUAGUUUUGAUAGGACUUAACUGCACUAGGCCUUACAGUCUAAGAAGGGUGAUGCGUGAGUUGGGUAGGAUGCAAGACGUCCCUCCAAUAAUGGACCUUCUAAAGGAUGUAGAGUACUUUAAAAACCAAGCCGUGGGGGAAAGCAAAUAUGAGCAAUUCUGGAAUAACGCGAUAAAGCUAGGUGUGGAUACUCUCGAGGAAAAUCUAGGAUGCACUCAAAACUAUGAAAUCUAGCUACAAUCUCUGCUCGUGGUAUUAGUAGACCCUUACCAGCCCAACUUAGAGGGCGAAUACGGAAAGCAAUCGUGGUAGAGGAUGAUGAGCAGGAAGAUCCGGGUGCCAAGGUGGAGUUUUUGAGAGUUCAGUUGUCACGUUUGAUCAUAACUGUGGAUGGGUGUCAGAAAAACCUUUGCGGGUGUAAUCUCCAAGAGGCAGGGAUACGGGCAAGAAAUUUGUUCUCGAGUAUCAAAACGUCGUUGCAGGAUAUGUUGCAAAGUCUGAGUGGAAAGGAGGGGACUUCACAGAUGGGUUCAUCUCAGCCGGGGAUAUCACACAGAGCACCAGUUUGAAAGAACAUGUCUUAUCUUUAUGUAGUUUUGAGUCUUUUAUGUUUCUGUCAUUGUAGGGUGGUGUCUGUGUUAAGUCGGAGUCAAGUUGUUUUUGAUAUUCGGGUCUUUAUUAGUAAUUGCACGCAUGUCGUUAGGGGUUAGAAUGUUGUUUUGUAUUUUUUGUUUAGUUUUAAAGUGGUCCUAAAUUCGUUGUAUGUUUUGUUGUUUCUUUCAUCGAAAUGUUAUGAGGUGACAUCUUUCUUUUGUUUACUUGUUUUCAUUUUUCGUGAAAAAAAAAAGAAAAAAAAACCUUCAAUUGUGUGAUGUUUAUGCAUAUGCAGCCCGAACUACGCAAGAUCUGAUUCAUGUACAACAUGAUACGUAGGCAACCUACUUUUGGGUUCGAUCUAAUCACUUUGUUUCGUUGUUUUUCAUUAUUUUUCCUCUUUUAAAGAAAAAAACAAAAGCCAUAAAGAAUGAUAAAAUGAAGGUAGAUAACAAGAGAAGAAAAGAAAGAAAGGAUGAUGAGACAAUAAAGGGAAAAACAGAGACUAAUAAGACAAAAAAAAAGGGAAAGGAGGGUGAAAAAAAAAGUGUGUUUGGAGUAAAGAAGCAAAUAAGUGUAGAUAAAAAUCAGGAUGAUGUUAAAAUGACCUUGCUACCCUCAAAAGCUGAUAGAAAUGGACAUGAAUUUAGGAUAAUUUUACCAAUGUGAUUCCCAUGCUUGUUGUGUGCCCUAAUCCUAACGGACGUCGUCUUUGAUGAGCAUGUUCUUUCAAAUAACAGUGGUAGGUUUUCAGUACUUUGGCUAGUCACCCAUACCUCACUAGAUCAAAAGCAAAGCUCGCCAUGGCUAGCAGGGAGAUUGAAAAUUUGAUCAUUGACCCGGAUCAGGAUCAUAGGGAAGAAAGCUCAGAACACAAUGAUGAGGUAAUAAGGCUCAGGCAAUAAUUGAUAGCUUUGUACCGGGCAUGGGCCAGCGGAAUGCCUCCUCCUCCGCUCCCUGAAGGUCUUAGGAAUAUCUCUAAGUGCCCACUGCUCUCUCAGGCUCAAUUCUCUCCUCCUACUGAGUCACCUGAGCACGCUCCAGGAUUCACUCCGCAACAUUAUUAUCUUGCCAGUUCUAGUGUGCCCUUGGCAGUACCCCAAUCAAGACCCGCUGCUCAGCCAGUGCCACCGAUCACACCAGUAUUCGUGGCUCCUCCACCACCUGAAGCUCCCACAUAUGUUGUGCGUCCAACAACGGGGCUUUCUCGGUCUGCCAGUAAGCCAGUAUUGAAGGUUCCAAAUAGUCAGUAUUAUGCCCCAGAGCCUACUUUGAGAAUGAAUGAACCAUAUGGGUACACUCAUCCACCUGCAUUUCCAUUUGAUACAGAGAAACCUGUGACAACAGAGGAGCAAAAAUUCAUAGCAUGAAAGUUGAAAAGUUUAGAACAGGCCAUGAGGAAUUUGUAGGGAAUCGGAGGUUAUAAGAGUAUUUCCUAUAAAGAUCUUUGCAUGUUCCGAGACAUCAACUUUUCUCUCGAUUUUAAAAUGCCCAAGUUCAAGAAGUAUACAGGGCACGGUAAUCUCGUGGCACACUUGAGAUGUUAUUUCAACCAAUUGAGGGUUGCAGAAGGAAGGGAAGAGCUGCUCAUGGCUUUCUUUUGCGAGAGUCUUUCUGAUCUGGCUUCAGAAUAGUUUAUCGAUCAAGAUAUCGACAAGUGGAAUAGCUGGGAUGACUUAGCUUCUGAGUUUGUGCAACAUUUUCAGUAUAACAUCGACCUGAUUCCUGAAGAAAAAUCCUUGGUCAACAUGAAGAAGAAAAACACUGAAGGUUUUAGGGAAUACACGAUAAGGUGGCGUGAACAGGCCGCCAGGGUAAAGCCUUCAAUGAAAGAAAGUAAGUUGGUAGAGGUUUUUAUUCAGGCACAGGAUGAGACCUAUUUUCAACAUUUACUUUCGGCAAUGGGAUAGUCUUUUAUUAAAGUCCUCAAAAUGGGGGAGAUGAUAGAGAACGGAAUCAAGACCGACCGAAUUAUGAGUUUUGCCGCAUUGAAAGCCACCACACAAGCGAUUCAAGGUGGAUCUGGAGCAUUCGGAGGUAAAAAAAAGAAAGAGGACGUGACGAUUGUCAUAGCUGGAACCCAUUCCUAUCCCAAAAGACCACCUCGCCCUUAUCCCCAAUCCCAAGCCCAAGUCUAUGCCCAUGCUCCAUAUAUUCCUCCACACCAUUACUACCCUUCACAAAACCCUUUAUAUUCCAUUCGACCACCCCCGUACCCAGUAUAUAGCACGCAGCCAUAUGCCCAAACCUUUUUUUACCCGUAAUGGCGCACGCAAGCUCCAAAAAUCGCCCAUCCGCUCCACCAAAUUACCGAAACCCCUCCAGACCCUAUUUUCAACCUAGGCCCGAGUAUAAGAAAGAGAAGGCGGUCAAAAAUUAAUUCACACCCCUUGGGGAGUCAGAUGCUAGCUUGUUUGAUAGGUUGAGAAGGUUGAAGGUCUUAAGCCCAAUUCAAGGAAGGAUUUCAAAUCCACCGUCGAGGAAUCUCGAUUAUUCUUUAAGGUGUGCGUACUAUUUUGACAUACCAGGCCGUUAUAUCAAGAAAUGCUAGGAUUUAAAGAGAGCUGUCCAAGAUUUAAUUGACACAAAUCAGAUGCUGGUCCAGGCCCGAAGGGUCCAAACAUUAACCAGAAUCCGCUGCCAACCCAUGCUAAAACCAAUAUGUUAGAAUUGAUAUAUGAUAGGAAAGAGUAGUCAAGGUGUUAUAAGCCUAUCGUCAAGAUACAGACCAUUGAGGAGAAAUUGGUGAAUAUAGCAGAGUCUUUGAAAGCAAUGUCAUUGAUCCAGGAAGGAAUGAGAGAAGAAAAAGCCCAAGAAAGCACAAAGAAACCCCUGAUCAUGGUGUAAGGUGCCAGAAGGUAUGUUGAUUUAAUUCAGGAUAAACCUAAGUUGACAGUGGUAGGAGCUUCGAGUAAGCCCAUCUUGACGGUGAAAGGAGCACUAGUAGCACCUAUUGUCCUCAAAUCGGUGACCCAACCUCCGAUAGUUGAUAGGAAAAGGGUUCCCUGGAAUUAUGGGUGGACUGUGAUAACCUAUAAUGGAAAGAAGUAAUGAAAAAUGUAGAUGGGGUUGGGGGUUUGACUCUGUCAUGAAGAUACUUCAUGCCUGAAAGUUUAAGAAAGUCCAAACCAUUUGUGAGUGGACCGUCAUCUAUCAAAAAACCUAUCACCGAAGAAGAAGCCAAAGAUUUUUUGAAAAAGAUGAAAUUACCAGAGUAUUCAAUAAUAGACGAGUUGAAGAAAACCCCAGCUCAAAUUUCUCUCUUAUCUUUGUUGUUGAACUUCAAGGAGCAUCGUGAUAUUUUACUGAAGUUAUUAACUGAAGCAUAUGUUCCUAGGGAGAUUACAGUAAAUCAUCUUGAGAAAAUAGUUGGAAAAAUCUUUGAGGUCAAUCGAAUCAGCUUUUCUGAUGAUGAAUUGCCUGUUAAAGGUACAGGGCAUAACUAGGGCCUUUAUAUUACAGUAAAGUGCGAAGAUUUCUACGUUAUUUAUGUUAUGAUUGACGGAGGUUCAGGUGCAAAUAUCUGCCCUAUUUCUACUUUGCAAAAGUUUAAUAUUGGUGCUGAGAGGAUCGGCCCAACAAUGUAUGUGUCAGGGCUUUCGAUGGUGCAAAAUCAAACUCCAUUGGCAAAAUAGAACUAAUGUUGAUCAUAGGGCCUGUUGGGUUCGCCAUAGAGUUUCAAGUAUUGAAGAUAGAAUCCUCUUACAAUCUGUUGUUGGGAAGGCCGUGGAUCCACAAGGCCAAGGCGGUUGUAUCUACACUACACCAAAUGAUUAAGUUUGAGCAUGACAGGUAAGAAGUGGUUAUUCACGAUGAAGGAGAUUUGUCCGCCUGCGAAGAGUCUCCCUUGUCUCUUAUUGAAGCAAAUAACGUAGAGGAGACAUUUGUCUAUCAAAUUUUGGAUACAGUGCCAGUGAAUCAUAUCCUUGAAUGGUAGGUUAUACCGGGACCAUAAUUGUUUUCCGCUUCUAUCAUGAUGGUGAGUGAACUUUGGAAAUACGAAUUUAAGCCAGGAAAAGGUUUGGGAGCGUCUCUGCACGGUAUAUUUUGUCCCAUAUGUUUGAGUGAGAACGUGGGCACGUUUGGUCUGGAAUUUGAGCCUACGACUGAAGAUUUGAAGAAAGCCAAGGGAAGAAAAAAGGAAACAUGUCCAUUCCCUCUCCCAAUGCCACUACUCAGUGAAUCAUUUAUUAAGAGCGGUGUUACGAAGCAUGUGGAAUUUGAAGUUGAAUUGGUUGAUGACUGCCAGAACUCUUUUAUUAAAGUUGAAAUGGUCGAAGCAGGAAAAGGUACCAGUAUGGCAGACGUGUAAUUCAUAGGUCCAGUUGUCCGGCUCAAUAAUUGGGACGUCACUCCUCUCCCUAUCAGGAGAGAGUUUUGGUAGUUUAUUUUGUUUUUCUUUCUGUUUAUCUGAGUUAUUUCAGGGUUGUAAUUCAGAUUUUAGUUUGUUUAUGUUAUGUUGGCAUCUAUGUUUAAACCCUUCUAUAUUUUUAUUUAAUGAAAUGCAAUGUCCCUUUUAUUUCGUGUCUAAUAUAUUUUAUUUUUGGGAAUAUGAUGAAGAAGAAGUACUAGAAGAAAUAAGCAAAGAGUUGGAACAAUUUGAAGACAAACUGAAUCCUAAUUUGAAUGAGACUGAGCCAAUAAAUCUAGGGAAUCAAGAAGAUGUUAGGGAAACUAAAAUCAGUGUACAUGCUUUUCCACAGCUAAAAGAUGGAAUGAUUCAAGCAUUAAUUAAUUAUAAGGAUGUUUUUGCAUGGUCUUAUGAUGAUAUGUCUGGUUUAAGCACUGAAUUAGUGGCUCACAAAUUGCCAACUGAUCUCGCAUUCCCUCCUGUCAAACAGAAGUUGAGGAAGUUUAAAACUGAUGGAAGUAUUAAAAUCAAAGAGGAAAUCAUGAAACAACUUGAAGCCAAAGUAAUUAGAGUGGCUCAUUAUCCCAUGUGGUUAUCCAAUGUUGUUCCCAUACCAAAGAAAGAUGGCAAAAUUUGAGUAUGUGUUGAUUACUAUGAUUUGAACAGAGCAAGUCCGAAAGAUGAUUUUCCACUGCCCAAAAUCCAUAUUUAGCUAGACAACUGUGCUAAACACGAGGUUGCCUAUUUUGUGGAUUGCUAUUCCAGAUAUCACCAGAUCAUUAUGGAUGAUGGAGACGCAGAGAAAACAUCUUUUAUCACACCAUGGGGGACCUAUUAUUAUCGAGUGAUGCCGUUCGGUUUGAAGAAUGCUAGAGCAACAUACAUGAGAGCCAUGACCACUAUGUUUCAUGAUAUGAUGCAUAAGGAUAUUGAGGUAUACGUGGAUGAUGUGAUUAUUAAGUCAAAAAGUCGGGCCGACCAUGUUAAAGAUUUAAGAAAGUUCUUUGAAAGGCUUCGCAGGUAUAAUCUCAAGCUCAACCCAGCAAAAUGUGCAUUUGGAGUUCCAUCUGGAAAGUUGUUGGGGUUUGUGGUCAGCCGUCGAGGGAUUGAAUUGGAUCCCUCAAAAAUCAAAGCCAUUCAGGAUUUGCCCCCACCCAAAAAUAGGACGGAGGUGAUGAGUUUGCUUGGUAGACUGAACUACAUUAGUAGGUUUAUUGCUCAACUCACAACCACUUGUGAGCCCAUAUUCAAGUUAUCGAAAAAGAGUGUUGCGGUAGAAUGGACUAAAGAAUGUCAGGAAGCGUUCGACAGAAUCAAAAGAUAUUUGUCAAAUUUGCCCGUGCUGGUACCACUAGAGCCUGAGAGGCCUUUGAUCUUAUAUUUAUCAGUCAUGGACAAUUCUUUUGGUUGUGUCCUGGGUCAACAUGAUGUCAUAGGCAAAAAAGGGCAGGCUAUAUAUUAUCUUAGCAAGAAGUUCACCGCAUAUGAGGCCAGGUAUACUCUUCUUGAAAGGACGUGUUGUGCCCUAACUUGGGUAGCACAGAAUUUGAAGCAUUAUCUCUCAUCCUAUACUACUUAUCUUAUCUCCCGCAUGGAUCCUUUGAAGUAUAUCUUUCAGAAGCCUAUGCCGACAGGUCGAUUGACAAAGUGGAAAAUAUUGCUACCGAGUUCGACAUUGUAUAUGUGACUCGAACCGCUAUGAAAGACCAAGCCUUGGGAGAUCAUCUUGCUGAGAAUCCCAUCGAUGAAGAGUACGAGCCAUUAAAGACAUAUUUUCCUGAUGAAGAAGUUUUGUGUGUCGAUAAAGUCGUUAUAGAUGCUGAUCCAGGUUGGAAGUUGUUCUUCGAUGGAGCUGUCAAUAUGAAAGGAGUCGGAAUAGGUCCAGUUCUUAUCUCUAAAUUGGGACAACAUUUCUUGGUAACAGCACAACUUCGAUUUUAUUGUACUAACAACAUGGCAGAGUAUGAAGCUUGAAUUCUUGGUUUGAGGUUAGCUGUUGAUAUGGGAGUUCAGGAAUUAUUGGUGUUGGGGGAUUCAAAUUUGCUUGUCCAUCAAAUUCAAGGAGAUUGGGAGACGCGAGAUUUGAAGCUUAUCCCGUAUCGAUAAUACUUGCAGGAGUUAUGUCAACGGUUUGUUAGUAAAAUUUAGGCAUAUUCCAAGGAUUCAUAAUGAAAUUGUUGAUGCUUUAGCCACUCUUUCUUCAAUGCUCCAACAUCCUGAUAAUGCCUACAUCGAUCCUGUGCAUAUACAGAUUUGUGAUCAGUAUGCUUACUGUAGUGCGGUUGAAGAAGAGCUCGAUGGAGAACCCUAGUUCUUGGAUAUCAAGUGAUACAUUCAGUCAAGAGAAUACCCAACAUAUGCCACCAAUGAUUAAAAGAGGACUAUUAGGAGUUUGGCUAGUGGAUUUUUGAGGUGUGUAGAUGCAAAAGAAGCCUCGGCAAUCAUGGUUGAAAUACACUCUGGAGUAUGUGGAUUGCAUAUGAACGGUCAUGUCUUAUCAAAGAAGAUUCUUCGAGCAUGUUAUUACUGGCUUACUAUAGAGAUGGAUUCUAUUCAAUUUGUUCGAAAGUAUUAUCAAUGUCAGGUACACAGUGAUCUGACACGUUCUCCUCCUGCUAAAUUGUAUGCAAUGGCUGCUCCAUGGCCGUUUGUGGCUUGGGGAAUGGAUGUAAUUGGACCGAUUUAGCCGAAGGCGUCAAAUGGACAUAGAUUUAUUUUGGUAGCCAUUGAUUACUUCACAAAGUAGGUAGAAGCAGUAACUUUCAAGUCAGUGACAAAGAAGGUUGUGGUAGAUUUUGUUCAUGCCAACAUCAUUUGUAGGUUUGGAAUUUCUAAGAUGAUCAUUACAGACAAUGCUGCCAAUCUCAAUAGUUAUUUGAUGCAAGAAGUGUGUCAACAGUUUAAUAUCGCACAUCGAAAUUCUACUCCAUAUCGCCCAAAGGCCAAUGGUGCUGUAGAAGCCGCCAAUAAGAAUAUAAAAAAGAUACUGUGAAAAAUAGUACAAGGGUCUAGACAGUGGCAUGAAAAGUUGCCGUUUACAUUGCUAGGUUAUCGUACAACUGUUCGCACUUCAACAAGGGCAACUCUAUAUUUAUUAGUGUAUGGGACAGAAGCAGUCAUCUCUGCAGAAGUUGAAAUCACUCUCUUCAAUUCAUUGUAGAAGCAGAGAUUGAUGAUGAUGAAUGGGUUAAAAACCGACUGGAACAUUUGAGUUUUAUUGAGGAAAAAAGGCUAACAUCUUUGUGUCAUGGCCAGUUAUAUCAGAGGACGAUGGCUUGAGUGUAUAACAAAAAGGUCCGUCCAAGGAAUUUUGAAGUUGGUCAGUUGGUAUUAAAACGUAUCCUUCCUCACCAGGUUGAAGCGAAAGGCAAGUUCUCCCCUAACUGGAAAGGUCCCUUCGUUGUGAAGAAAGUGUUGCCCAAUGGAGCCUUAUAUUUGACAGAUAUUGAAGGCAAAAUGACAGAGAUGGCUAUCAAUGCUGAUGCGGUCAAAAGAUAUUAUGUAUGAUAUUUUAUCCUUUGUUGAUUUUAUUGCAUGUUUAGUACUUGCAUUUUUUAAGAUUGAUAUGAUGAAGGUAUUUUAUUCUUCUAUCCAAACAUUGUGUCAUUCUUUGUUUAACCGAUUUGUUUUAUUUUUUCUUUCAUAUCUCUCUUUUGGAUUCAAAAUAGAGUCAAAGAUAAAUGUCAAAAAAUAAGAAUAAAAGAAAGAGUUUGAAAAAAAAAUCAAAACAAAACAAAGAACAAGCUUAUGGAACUACGUGCGACCUGAUUCUUCUCUCUCAGGAGUGAGAUACGUAGGCUGCCCUAUUUCGGGCUCGGUCCAACCAAAUAAAGAUUUUAGAGUCACCCAGUCAACAAAAACUGGGGCAUGAGUUAAUGUGUUGUUUGAGUCGAUUCCAAAAGUUGUAAGUCUCACCUCCACUUUAAGCAUCGUUUGAACCUCUUGCCAUCCUUUUCUAACCUUAUCCGAAAGCCAAGUUACAACCAAAGAAAGUCCUUCAGAUCAAUUUUUGAUAAUGUUAAGGCUAAGCAUGCAAUGGAUAUGAUGAUACAUUGUGAGGUACCACGUGUCUCCCUCAGUAUAAGAAAUCAGGAAAGAAAUACAAAAUGAGAGACAUUCUUAUUGGUGAAAACCCCCGCGGGCAUCAUAAGGCGAUGGUGAGUUAAGAGAAAUGAAAAUGAGAGAGUCUUAUUGAUGAAAACCCUCGCAGGCACCAUAAGGCGAUGGUGAGUGGAGAGAAAUAAAAAUAAGAGAGUCUUAUUGAUGAAAACCCACACGGGCACCUAAGGCGAUGGCGAGUUCAAGAGAAAAGUGAUGUAUGAGUCCAAUAGAUUUGAAGAAGCGGCUCAGCGGCAAAGGCACGAACUCAACGACAAAUGAAGAGUUUAGAUAGGAAGAUCAGGAAGCUUAAUCCAAAAUGCAUGUCAUACUCAUUGGAGUUCGUUGCCGUAUUCAGAUAAGUUUUCUUUUUGAAUAUAGGACAUUGCCCUUUUCUUUCAUUUACAUAUUCAUGCUUUUUGUCUUUUCAUUUACAUAUUCAUGCUUUUUGUCUUUUUAUGUCAUUUAUCAAAAUAAAAGUCACCAUCAUUUCUUUACAUUUUAAGUCAAGUCUGUGUCAAAACAAGCGAGAAAGGAUUUUAAAAUUUACUACCAGUCUUUCCAAUUAUAUGAGGAAAAGCCAAGGACCAGCACAUGAAAGAAAUAGGAUCGUAAUUCAAUGCGAAGCAAGGGAAGGCUAUCAACUGACAGGCUGUUGGAUUCGUGGAAGCAUUCAGAUUUGGGAAAAGGGUGCACCUCAGAGGCAUGGUAAAAUGGAAACCCAUUGUUCGAGUCAGAACUCAUUUCUCUCAAUCUAGAUUCGGGUCAAUGAUGCAGCAAGACAGGGCAAGUGUCGGCGAUUUGGAACAAAGAUGAAAGGAAGGAGUAUUGGGGUAGAUACCUGAGAAACCAAGAGCUGCAAGCCACCACAAAGUUUUUAACUGACAAAUUUCCUUUGUUGAAAUAGGGGCAAAUUCGCUUAACUUAAUUCAGCUACCAUUGGAAAUGCACAUCCAUAGGAUUUUACUUUCUGCUCAGGACCCUCCUGAAAAAUGGGAUUUUACUUUCUGCUCAGGACCCUCCUGAAAAUGGGAUUUUACUUUCUACUCGGGACCCUCUUGAAAAAUUGGAUUUUACUUUCUGCUCGGGACCCUCUUAAAAAAUGAGAUUUUACUUUCUGCUCAGGACCCUCCUGAAAAAUGGGACUUUACUUUCUGCUUAGGACCCUACUGAAAAAUAGGACUUUACCAUCUAUUCAGGACCCUACUAAAAAAUGGGACUUUACCAUCUAUUCAGGACCCUCCUGGAAAAUGGGAUUUUACUUUCUAUUCAGGACCCUCCUGGAAAAUGGGACUUUAAUUUCUGUUCAAGACCCUCCUGAAAAAUAGGCUUUUACUUUCUGCUUAGGACCCUCCUGAAAAAUAGAAUUUUACUUUCUGCUCAGGACCCUCCUGAAAAAUGGGACUUUACUUUCUGCUCAGGACCCUCCUGAAAAAUGGGACUUCACUUUCUGCUCAGGACAUUCCUGAAAAAUAAGAUUUUACUUUCUGUUCAGGACCCUCCUAAAAAAUGGGACUUUGAUUUCUGUUCAGGACCCUCAUGAAAAAUGGGAUUUUACUUUUUGUUCAGGACCCUCCAGAAAAAUGGGAUUUCACUUUCUGCUCAGGACCCUCCUAAAAAUGGGAUUUUACUUUCUGCUCAGGACCCUCCUGAAAAAUGGGACUUUACCUUCUGCUCAGGACCCUCCUAAAAAAUGGGACUUUACCUUCUGUUUAGGACCCUCCUGGAAAAUGAAAUUUUACUUUUUGUUCAGGACCCUUCUGAAAAAUAGAAUUUUACUUUCUGUUCAGGACCCUUUUGAAAAAGGGGACUUUACUUUCUGCUCAGGACCCUCCUGAAAAAUGUGACUUUAGUUUCUGCUCAGGACCAUCAUGAAAAAUAAGACUUUACUUUCUGUUCAGAACCUUCUUGAAAAAUAAGAUUUUACUGUUUGUUCAGCACCCUCCUGAAAAAUGGCAUUUUACCUUCUGUUCAGGACCCUCCUGAAAAAUGGGAUUUCACUUUAUGUUUAGGACCCUUCUGAAAAAUGAGAUUUUACUUUUUGUUCGGGACCCUCCUGAAAAAUAAGAUUUUACUUUUUGCUCAGGACCCUCCUGAAAAAAGAGGAUUUACUUUCUUCUCAGGACCCUCCUGAAAAAUGGGACUUUACAUUCUGCCCAGGAACCUCCUGAAAAAUAGGAAUUUACAAUCUGCUUAGGACCCUCCUGAAAAAUGGGAUUUUACUUUUUGUUCAGGACCCUCCUGAAAAAUGGGACUUUACUUUUUGCUCAGGACCCUCAGACUUUACUUUCUGCUUAGGACCAUACUAAAAAAUAGGACUUUACUUUCUGCUCAGGACCCUCCUGAAAAAUGGGACUUUACUUUUUGCUCAGGACCCUCAGACUUUACUUUCUGCUUAGGACCAUACUAAAAAAUAGGACUUUACUUUCUGCUCAGGACCCUCCUGAAAAAUGGGACUUUACUGCUUGUUCAGGACCCUCCUGAAAAAUAGAAUUUUACCUUCUGUUCAGGACCCUCCUGAAAAAUGGGAUUUUACUUUAUGUUCAGGACCCUCCUGAAAAAUGGGAUGUUACUUUAUAUUCAGGACCCUCCUGAAAAAUGGGAUUUUACCUUAUGUUCAGGACCCUCCUAAAAAAUAGGAUUUUACUGCUUGUUUAAGACCCUCCUAAAAAAUAGGAUUUUACCUUCUGUUCAGGACCCUCCUGAAAAAUGGGAUUUCAAUUUAUGUUUAGGACCCUCCUAAAAACUCAAAUUUUACUUUAUGUUCAGGACCCUCCUGAAAAAUGGGAUUUUACUUUAUGUUCAGGACCCUCCUAAAAAAUGGGAUUUUACCUUAUGUUCAGGACCCUCCUGAAAAAUGGGAUUUUACCUUAUGUUCAGGACCCUCCUAAAAAAUGGGAUUCAACUUUAUGUUUAGAACCCUCCUGGAAAAUGGGAUUUUACUUUCUGUUCAGGACCUUCCUGGAAAUUGAGAUUUUACUUUAUGCUUAGGAUCCUCUUGAAAAAUGGGACUUUACCUUCUGUUCAGGUCCCUCCUUAAAAAUGAUAUUUUAAUUCAUGUUCAGGACCCUCCUGAAAACUCAAAUUUUACCUUAUGUUCAGGACCCUCCUGAAAAAUGGGAUUUCACUUUAUGUUUAGGACCCUCCUGAAAAAUGGGAUUUUACUUUAUAUUCAGGACCCUCCUGAAAAAUGGGAUUUUACGUUAUGUUCAGGAUCCUCCUGAAAAAUGGGAUUUUACCUUCUGUUCAGGACCUUCCUGAAAAAUAAGAUUUUACCUUCUGUUCAGGACCCUCCUUAAAAAUGGAAUUUUACUUUGUAUUCAGGACCCUCCUGAAAAAUGAGAUUUUACUUUAUGUUCAGGACCCUCCUGGAAAAUAGGAUGUUAAUUUAUGUUCCGGACCCUCCUGAAAAAUCGGAUUUUACCUUUGUUCCGGACCCUCCUGUAAAAUGGGAUUUCACUUUAUGUUCAGGACCCUCCUGAAAAGUGAGAUUUUACCUUCUGUUCAGGACCCUCCUGAAAAAUGGGAUUUCACUUUAUGUUUAGGACCCUCUUGAAAAUUAGGACUUUACUUUCUGUUCAGGACCCUCCUAGAAAAUGAGAUUUUACUUUAUGCUCCGGACCCUCCUGAAAAAUAGGACUUUACCUUCUUUUCAGGACUUUCCUGAAAAAUCAGAUUUUACUUCAUGUUCCGAACCCUCUUGAAAACUCGGAUUUCACUUUUUGUUAGUACCCUCCUGGAAAAUGGGAUGUUACUUUCUGUUUUGGACCCUCCUGAAAAUUGGGAUUUUACCUUCUGUUCAGGACCUUCCUGAAAAAUAGGAUUUCUCAUUAUGUUCAAGACCCUUCUGAAAAAUAAAAUUUUAUCUUCUGUUCAGGACCCUCCUGAAAAAUGAGAUUUUACUUUCUGUUCAGGACCCUACUGAAAAAUGGGAUUUUACUUUCUGUUCAGGACCCUCUUGAAAAAUGAGAUUUUGCUUUAUGUUCAGGACCCUCCUGGAAAAUGGGAUGUUAGUUUCUGUUCAGGACCCUCCUGGAAAAUGGGAUUUUACCUUCUGUUCAGGACCCUCCUGAAAAAUGGGAUUUCACUUUAUGUUCAGGACCCUCCUGAAAAAUGGGAUUUUACCUUUUGUUCAGGACCCUCCUGAAAAAUGGGAUUUCACUUUAUAUUCAGGACCCUCCUGAGAAAUGGGACUUUACUUUCUCUUCAGGACCCUCCUGGAAAAUGGGACAACACUUUCAAAAAUGAAAUACUACUUUACUAUAAUUUUUGUUUGGGAUAAUUUUCGUUCUAGUUUUAAUUUUGGGUUUCAGGAGCCCGCCUGAAGAACAGGGUGAUGAAAUAGCAAGUUAGGAGCCUGCGUGGAGAACAGAGUGAAGAAAUGAAAAGUCAAGCAACAAAGUGAUGAAAUUGCAAGUCAGGAGCCCGCCUGGAGAAUAGGGUGAAGAAAUGAAAAGUCAAGCAACAAAGCGAAGCAAUUGAAACCCAAGCAACAAGUUGAUAGAAAUUGUAAGUCAGGAGCCCGGCUGAAGAAUAGGGUGAUAAAAGUCGAGUCAAGAGCCAAAGAAGCUGUAUAAAUAGGAGUUUGUAAUUUCAUUUAUUUUUUAACUUGUAAUUUUCAUUUUUGAUGUAAUGACAGAGCCGCGAAUCGGAACCUCAGUGGAACCUCACUCGACUCUCCAACUCGGUACAGUUCACUUUUCUUCCAACCCUUUGAGAUACUUGUGACUUCCUCAUGACUUGGGUAGAUAGGGUGUCCGACAGGAUUCGAUUGUCCUUCUUUCUUUUACUCCUCUCUUUGAAUAAAGAUCGGGACAAAAUUCGGUCUCGUUGUUUACUUCUUUGUCUGAAAACACUGCGUGUUUACAUUCAAAGGGGGCAUGAUGUAGACACGUAAUUUCGUCACUCCCCGAUAUCAUUUUACCCAUUUUUACCUUACCUUACCCAUGUAAUUACAUUCCACAAAAAUACAAAAAAUAACUCUCAACAAAAUCUCUAACAAACUUUUAUUCUUUUUAACAUCCUAACAACCCUUUCAAUUAAAAUAAGACACAUUACCUAUACCCAUACCCCCAACACCCUAUACCCACGUGACCCUCUCCCCCUCAUAUUUCUUGUCCACAAAGGCAAAAAGAGAAAAACAUUAAAAAGGGGCCCCACUAGGAAACUUCCAGGAAAGGGACAAAANNNNNNNNNNNNNNNNNNNNNNNNNNNNNNNNNNNNNNNNNNNNNNNNNNNNNNNNNNNNNNNNNNNNNNNNNNNNNNNNNNNNNNNNNNNNNNNNNNNNNNNNNNNNNNNNNNNNNNNNNNNNNNNNNNNNNNNNNNNNNNNUGAAAAAAAAUGCACUACAAUCUCCAUUUAUUGGAUACAGCAACUGCACAGGGAUUUGGGGAAGUCCAUAAACACAUGCCAGAAAUGGGGUAGAUCAAGAGAGAGGGAGUGAACAGAGAGAGACGAGAGAGAAGAACUUGGUCGAAGAUCGAGUUUUCCAGCCACUCUUCACCGAAAAUCACUGCACUAGUUCCAUUUUAACUCCGAAACCCAUCGAAAACUCAUCCAAACCAUCUCCAUCACUGAAAACCAAGAUCGAAUCGUUAAAAACAGCCCGAAAUCGACCUGUUUUGGGUUGAUUCCGGUCGUUUUGAGUUCGGUUUUAGUUUGUUCAAGGUCACCUUUGGUCUGUUUGGGUUAGUAAGUUUUGUUUAGUUUCGGUUUGUUCAGUGUUGGUGUUGAAUACUCUCAAGUGGUUUUGUGGAUUUGGUAUUUAAAUCGGACUGCGAAUUCGGGCUGUUUAGCUCUGAGUCGGUUCAGCCAUUGCUAAGGUUUAUUUUUCAUUCUAGAAUUCAGGCUUUGGCUUCUCUCAUUCGUUAUUAUCGAUUAGAAUUUGAAUCUUUGGAGGUCCCUUUCUCAACUCUAUCAUUUUCUUAUGUUUUCAUAGUUGAAGAUAUGACUUCAUGAUGUUUUGAAUGUAUGUGACUCCUUAUAAUUCGUGUGGUUUGAUUCAUAGACUUAUACUGAAAUUGCUUAAUGGUGUUGAUCGAAGAUGACUUGAAUUUAUGUUGGCAUAAAUGAAAUUUAGGUGGGAAUGGGAAAUUGAAAGAAUGAACACUGUUUUGAUUGUGACAUACUGAUUAUUGUUUAAUUCUGGAUAAAUAUUAAUUCUGAUCAUUGU